rnacentral:rRNA from 1 species
UACGGGGGGGGUAAGCGUUGUUCGGAAUUACUGGGCGUAAAGGGCUCGUAGGCGGCCAACUAAGUCAUACGUGAAAUCCCUCAGCUUAACUGGGGAACUGCGUGUGAUACUGGAUGGCUUGAGUUUGGGAGAGGGAUGCGGAAUUCCAGGUGUAGCGGUGAAAUGCGUAGAUAUCUGGAGGAACACCGGUGGCGAAGGCGGCAUCCUGGACCAACACUGACACUGAGGAGCGAAAGCCAGGGGAGCAAACGGG